AAAAAAUCCACUAUUCCUUGUAAAUUCCCGCUGUCAAAUUGAACCAUAUGAAUUUGAUGGAAGGUAACUGUUACGUGUGAUUGAUGCUUUCGUACAUCCCCAUUACAACUCUAGGUCCUCCAGCGCUCUGGACCUUCUUAUCAUAGCAGAGGCUAACAGUCCUCUCCAGUACCCUACUCAGGGACUGGAGGUACGACCCCUCAAGACUAUCAUCAUCCCUGGGCUGGGUCUGAAGGAACUGCCUAAAGACAUAUACAUGGUGAAUUUGACUGCCACCAUGGGUACGUUUGAUGUGGCUGCCACAGUGGAUGCAGUUUUCAUCACAGGGGCGGGGCAAAUGCACAUAAGCAUGUCCAGUAGACAUCUUCCGAAUUUGAACCGACAGCUUCAGUUUGUCACCUACACAAACACUGUGUUCCACCCCAGGACAGCAG